UACGGAGGAUCCAAGCGUUAUCCGGAAUCACUGGGCGUAAAGCGUUGCGUAGGCGGUAAUUCAAGUCAGAUGCGAAAUCGUGCGGCUCAACCGUACGUUGGUAUUUGAAACUGAAUAACUUGAGGAUGGUAGAGGUAAGUGGAAUUUCUGGUGUAGGAGUGAAAUCCGUAGAUAUCAGAAGGAACACCAAUGGCGAAGGCAGCUUACUGGGCCAUUCCUGACGCUGAGGCACGAAAGCGUGGGGAGCGAACCGG
rnacentral:misc_RNA from 1 species